AACGUAGGUGGCAAGCGUUAUCCGGAUUCACUGGGCGUAAAGCGAGUGCAGGUGGUUGUGUAAGUUGGAUGUGAAAUUUCCCAGCUUAACUGGGAAGGGUCAUUCAAUACUGCGCGACUUGAGGGCAGAAGAGGGGGGUGGAAUUGCCGGUGUAGUGGUGAAAUGCGUAGAUAUCGGCAGGAACACCUGUGGCGAAAGCGGCCCCCUGGUCUGAUCCUGACACUCAGACUCGAAAGCUAGGGUAG
rnacentral:rRNA from 1 species